rnacentral:rRNA from 1 species
GUUGAUAGGCUGGGUGUGGAAGCGCAGUAAUGCGUGCAGCUAACCAGUACUAAUUGACCGUGAGGCUUGACCAU